rnacentral:pre_miRNA from 1 species
UUCCUCCUCGAUCAUACAUGAACGGUUGAGGGGAAUGUUGUCUGGUUCGAGAUCACUCGUGGACGAAUUAAUUAAUAACUUAUUGUCUUUUGAAUGAUUUCGGACCAGGCUUCAUUCCCCCCAACUCAGUUUAAUUGC